rnacentral:rRNA from 1 species
GACGAACGCUGGCGGCGUGCUUAACACAUGCAAGUCGAACGGAAAGGCCCUGCUUGCAGGGUACUCGAGUGGCGAACGGGUGAGUAACACGUGGGUGAUCUGCCCUGCACUUCGGGAUAAGCCUGGGAAACUGGGUCUAAUACCGGAUAGGAGCCAUUUUUAGUGUGAUGGUUGGAAAGUUUUUUCGGUGUAGGAUGAGCUCGCGGCCUAUCAGCUUGUUGGUGGGGUAAUGGCCUACCAAGGCGGCGACGGGUAGUGGCCUGAGAGGGUGGACGGCCACAUUGGGACUGAGAUACGGCCCAGACUCCUACGGGAGGCAGCAGUGGGGAAUAUUGCACAAUGGGCGCAAGCCUGAUGCAGCGACGCCGCGUGGGGGAGGGCGGCCUUCGGGUUGUAAACUCCUUUCGCUAGGGACGAAGCUUUUUGUGACGGUACCUAGAUAAGAAGCACCGGCUAACUACGUG